UAACUGAAGAGUUUGAUCAUGGCUCAGAUUGAACGCUGGCGGCAGGCUUAACACAUGCAAGUCGAGCGGGGGAAGGUAGCUUGCUACUGGACCUAGCGGCGGACGGGUGAGUAAUGCUUAGGAAUCUGCCUAUUAGUGGGGGACAACAUCUCGAAAGGGAUGCUAAUACCGCAUACGUCCUACGGGAGAAAGCAGGGGAUCUUCGGACCUUGCGCUAAUAGAUGAGCCUAAGUCGGAUUAGCUAGUUGGUGGGGUAAAGGCCUACCAAGGCGACGAUCUGUAGCGGGUCUGAGAGGAUGAUCCGCCACACUGGGACUGAGACACGGCCCAGACUCCUACGGGAGGCAGCAGUGGGGAAUAUUGGACAAUGGGGGGAACCCUGAUCCAGCCAUGCCGCGUGUGUGAAGAAGGCCUUAUGGUUGUAAAGCACUUUAAGCGAGGAGGAGGCUACUUUAGUUAAUACCUAGAGAUAGUGGACGUUACUCGCAGAAUAAGCACCGGCUAACUCUGUGCCAGCAGCCGCGGUAAUACAGAGGGUGCGAGCGUUAAUCGGAUUUACUGGGCGUAAAGCGUGCGUAGGCGGCUUAUUAAGUCGGAUGUGAAAUCCCCGAGCUUAACUUGGGAAUUGCAUUCGAUACUGGUGAGCUAGAGUAUGGGAGAGGAUGGUAGAAUUCCAGGUGUAGCGGUGAAAUGCGUAGAGAUCUGGAGGAAUACCGAUGGCGAAGGCAGCCAUCUGGCCUAAUACUGACGCUGAGGUACGAAAGCAUGGGGAGCAAACAGGAUUAGAUACCCUGGUAGUCCAUGCCGUAAACGAUGUCUACUAGCCGUUGGGGCCUUUGAGGCUUUAGUGGCGCAGCUAACGCGAUAAGUAGACCGCCUGGGGAGUACGGUCGCAAGACUAAAACUCAAAUGAAUUGACGGGGGCCCGCACAAGCGGUGGAGCAUGUGGUUUAAUUCGAUGCAACGCGAAGAACCUUACCUGGCCUUGACAUACUAGAAACUUUCCAGAGAUGGAUUGGUGCCUUCGGGAAUCUAGAUACAGGUGCUGCAUGGCUGUCGUCAGCUCGUGUCGUGAGAUGUUGGGUUAAGUCC
rnacentral:rRNA from 1 species